UAGGCCCUGAAUCAAGACCAGUAGUUUGCAGUAGCUGUUGGUUUCAAACAGGAGCCAAAAGCAGUGUCUUCCUAUGAUCUGUUGGCUUCAGCACCCCAGUGGGAAUGGCCAAUUCAAUUGAAAGAAACAUAA
ensembl:snoRNA